UACGUAGGGGGCAAGCGUUGUCCGGAAUCAUUGGGCGUAAAGCGCGUGUCGGCGGUUCGGUAAGUCCGCUGUGAAAGUCGGGGGCUCAACCCUCGGAUGCCGGUGGAUACUGUCGGGCUUGAGUACGGAAGAGGCGAGUGGAAUUCCUGGUGUAGCGGUGAAAUGCGCAGAUAUCAGGAGGAACACCAAUUGCGAAGGCAGCUCGCUGGGACGUUACUGACGCUGAGACGCGAAAGCGUGGGGAGCAAACAGG
rnacentral:rRNA from 1 species